rnacentral:rRNA from 1 species
GACGAACGCUGGCGGCGUGCUUAACACAUGCAAGUCGAACGGAAAGGCCCUGCUUUUGUGGGGUGCUCGAGUGGCGAACGGGUGAGUAACACGUGAGUAACCUGCCCUUGACUUUGGGAUAACUUCAGGCAACUGGGGCUAAUACCGGAUAGGAGCUCCUGCUGCAUGGUGGGGGUUGGACAGUUUCGGCGGUUGGGGGUGGACUGGCGGCUUAUCAGCUUGUUGGUGGGGUAGUGGCCUACCAAGGCUUUGGCGGGUAGCCGGCCUGAGAGGGGGACCGGCGACAUGGGGACUGAGAGAGGGACCAGACUCCAACGGGGGGCAGCAGUGGGAAAUAUUACACAAUGGGGGGAAGCCUGAUGCAGAGACGCCGCGUGCGGAAUGAAGGCCUUCGGGUUGUAAACCGCUUUAGCCUGUGACGAAGCGUGAGUGACGGUAAUGGGUAAAGAAGCACCGGCUAACUACGUG